GACGAACGAUGGCGGCGUGCUUAACACAUGCAAGUCGAACGAAGUGGCGAACGGGUGAGUAACGCGUAAUCAACCUGCCCUUCAGAGGGUGACAACAGUUGGACACGACUGCUAAUACCUCAUACUGAAGGAGGUGCUAGCGUCUGAUUAGCUAGUUGGCGGGGUAACGGCCCACCAAGGCGAUGAUCAGUAGCCGGUCUGAGAGGAUGAACGGCCACAUUGGGACUGAGACACGGCCCAGACUCCUACGGGAGGCAGCAGUGGGGAAUCUUCCGCAAUGGACGAAAGUCUGACGGAGCAACGCCGCGUGAUGGAUGACGGCCUGCGGGUUGUAAAGCUCUGUUAAUCGGGACGCGGUACCGGAAUAGAAAGCCACGGCUAACUACGUGCCAGCAGCCGCGGUAAUUC
rnacentral:rRNA from 1 species